ACGCUUCUCGUUUUUCUCUCAACUCACCUGUGCACCUAAUGUAGGAUGCCUCUCCUCCGGGAGGGGGGACCUAUGUCUUCGUAACAUCUUCGUGUAGAAAGUCUUUGAAUGUUUACUAUCAUCGAGUCGCGACUUCUAGGAGACGCGAUUCUUUGAGAUAAAAGUUAUUACAACUUUCAGCAACGGAUCUCUUGGCUCUCGCAUCGAUGAAGAACGCAGCGAAAAGCGAUAUGUAAUGUGAAUUGCAGAUCUACAGUGAAUCAUCGAAUCUUUGAACGCACCUUGCGCUCCUCGGUGUUCCGAGGAGCAUGCCUGUUUGAGUGUCAGUAAAUUCUCAACCCCUCUCGAUUAGCUUUGAGAGGGUGCUUGGAUAGUGGAGGUUGCCGGAGACUUGGAUUCGUCCGAGACUCGGGCUCUUCUGAAAUGCAUCGGCUUGCGGUCGACUUUCGACUAUGUGCGACAAGGCUUUCGGCGUGAUAAUGAUCGCCGUUCGCUGAAGCGCAUGACUGAAUGUCCCGUGCCUCUAAUAUGUCGACCGCUUAUUAUCUCUCCGGAGAGAACAGGGUCUUCCUUAUUGACUUUUGACCUCAAAUCAGGUAGGACUACCCGCUGAACUUAAGCAUAUCAAUAAGCGGAGGAAAAGAAACUAACAAGGAUUCCCCUAGUAACUGCGAGUGAAGAGGGAAAAGCUCAAAUUU
rnacentral:rRNA from 1 species